ACUGCUCUGCCCUGAAGGAAAUACCAAGACCGUUUGCAAGUACAGUAGAGCUGCUGGUCGGUUAUUUCUUAUGAGGGUCAUGGAUAUCCCCUAUCUAAACUUGGAAGGACCAGACUUGCAGCCUAAACGUGAUCAUGUUCUCCAUGUGACAUUCCCCAAAGAAUGGAAAACCAGCGACCUUUACCAGCUUUUCAGUGCCUUUGGUAACAUUCAGAUAUCCUGGAUUGAUGACACAUCAGCAUUUGUUUCCCUUAGCCAGCCCGAGCAAGUAAAGAUUGCUGUCAAUACCAGCAAAUAUGCAGAAAGCUAUCGGAUCCAAACCUAUGCUGAAUAUAUGGGGAGAAAACAGGAAGAGAAGCAGAUCAAAAGAAAGUGGACUGAAGAUAGCUGGAAGGAGGCUGACAGCAAACGGUUAAACCCCCAGUGCAUACCCUACACCCUGCAGAAUCACUAUUACCGCAACAAUAG
rnacentral:misc_RNA from 1 species